rnacentral:misc_RNA from 1 species
GAAGUGCGACAAGUGUCACGACUUGCAGAUUCCCGAGAGCUGACAAAUUUCUGAAUGCAAAUGGCGGCCGUUCUAAACCGGCCAUGUAUUGCAGAGUGUAGUUGUUCAUUCUGACCUUCCCUCUUCUCUCUGUUUCUCUUCGGAUGUGACAGUUUGAAUGGGCUGGGAUCUGCGCUUGCGAGGCGGACGCAGCGAUGCGGCCGGUUCACGCGAGCGUUAAACCAGGGGCGGACCCCUGUUCGAGCCACGCGCUUGGGCAGGGGAUUCGGCUUCGGAUAGCAGCGUUGCCAAAAGCGACGACAGCACACGAAGUGUUAUCCCCGGAUGCACAUGUGCGUACGCUUUCAGUGUGUGUGCAUGUGUAUUUUUGUCAUCACGCCACCUCUGCAAUGCAGGAGAA